AUGGCUUCCAUUGUGCCCCUUUUCUCUCUACUGUCAUUAUUCUUGUGUUGUGUUCUUGCCAAGAAAGACAUGAAAGUAGCCCCUUUGACAAAUUGGGCUGACCAUAGAGGUCAAUCUCUACAGUCAAAUCAUGUUUUCAGUGUGCUCAGAUAUGGGGCUUACGGGGAUGGACGCCACGACGACACAAAGGUUUACCAUGGGUUUCUUGCGCAUCCACUUCUUGCAGGCAUUGUCAAAGGCGUGGGCUGCAGCUUGCUUGUAAUGCCCCAGACCGAUGCUCUAGAUGCCUUCUUAUUUUAG
rnacentral:rRNA from 1 species